GACGAACGCUGGAGGCGUGCUUAACACAUGCAAGUCGAACGAUGAAAUGGAGCUUGCUCCAUGGAUUAGUGGCGAACGGGUGAGUAACACGUGAAUAACCUGCCCUUAAUUUUGGAAUAACCCAGGGAAACCUGGGCUAAUACCGGAUAAGUAAACCUGUGGCAUCACAUGGUUUUGGAAAGUUUUUCGAUUAAGGAUGGAUUCGCGGCCUAUCAGCUUGUUGGUGAGGUAAUGGCUCACCAAGGCGACGACGGGUAGCCGGCCUGAGGGGGGGAACGGCCACACUGGGACUGAGACACGCCCCGGACUCCUACGGGAGGCAGAGGGGGGAAAUAUUGGUCAAUGGACGAAAGUUUGACGCAGCGACGCCUCGUGAGGGACGAAGGUCUUCGGAUUGUAAAUCUCUUUCAGCAGGGACGAAGCGAAAGUGACGGUACCUGAAGAAGAAGCACCGGCUAACUAUGUGCCAGCAGCCGCGGUAA
rnacentral:rRNA from 1 species